GAGACGAGAAAUCUUGCACCACUAGAACUUAUACAUUCAGAUCUAUGUGAAAUGAAUGGUGUUUUGACAAAAGGUGGAAAGAAAUAUUUCAUGACGUUAAUUGACGACUCCACUAGAUACUGUUGUGUGUAUCUUCUGAAAUCUAAGGAUGAGGCUUUGAACUUUUUCAAGAUCUAUAAAGCUGAAGUGGAAAACCAACUUGAUCGGAAAAUCAAGAGGCUUAGGUCCGACCGUGGUGGAGAGUAUUUUUCCAAUGAAUUUGAUGCUUUUUGUGUGGAACAUGGUAUAAUCCAUGAGAGGACGCCUCCCUACUCACCUCAGUCAAAUGGGGUGGCUGAAAGAAAGAAC
rnacentral:rRNA from 1 species